UACGAAGGGGGCUAGCGUUGCUCGGAAUCACUGGGCGUAAAGCGCACGUAGGCGGAUCUUUAAGUCAGGGGUGAAAUCCUGGAGCUCAACUCCAGAACUGCCCUUGAUACUGGCGGUCUCGAGUCCGGGAGAGGUGAGUGGAACUGCGAGUGUAGAGGUGAAAUUCGUAGAUAUUCGCAAGAACACCAGUGGCGAAGGCGGCUCACUGGCCCGGUACUGACGCUGAGGUGCGAAAGCGUGGGGAGCAAACAGG
rnacentral:rRNA from 1 species